rnacentral:rRNA from 1 species
CGGCAACAGCUCAAAUUUGAAAUCUGGCCUUUGGCCCGAGUUGUAAUUUGUAGAGGAUGCUUUUGGUGCGGUGCCUUCCGAGUUCCCUGGAACGGGACGCCUUAGAGGGUGAGAGCCCCGUCUGGUCGGAUACCGCGUCUCUGUAAAGCUCCUUCGAC